CAGAAGGCUUGCUGUUACUGAAUCUCCUUCAGAAAACAGGGAGGGAUGUUGGCUUCUGUGGCUGCAUUACUGAUCUCUGAGGGUGGCCGAUUUCCAAACAGAGCCCCUGCACGUGGUGAGCUGUUCAGCUCUCGCGGGACAGGACUCCACGCAUCAGACGGUGAUUUUGGAUGAGAUGAUUCUGAGGUGAGUCUUGGCCUACGUUUUUGCUUUCAAUUGAAAAGUGACAAAGUGUCCGUUCCUGGUGUGCAACACGAGGUCCCAGUCGCCAGGCUCUGUGUGUGGCGCGGCCCUGGGUCUCGCAGGCGCCAGUCGUCAGUAAACUCCUUUGCGCACUGCCUGGCGUGUGACAAGGGCUGGAGAAACGCCUG
rnacentral:lncRNA from 1 species